GGAGUCCGGAAGUCUCUGAGCAAGCAGUGCAAAGCUCGAGGUCCCGGGAGGCUCUCGUUGCUAUGGUGAUGACUCCGCGAGGGCCUCGUGCCAGCGUUAUCGGAGGACUGGAGGAGGGUCCAGACCCCGCCCCCGACGUCGGGAUUCGGGAGCUACGAGCCAGUCCCGCGAGGCCACUGUUGCUGUGGUGAUUUGCAGCGGCCUGCGCGCCGGAACCUGGUCUUUGCAGCUUGGUGAGUCCUCUCACCCUCCCGGCUGCAGACGCGUCCUGGAGGUUAUGGUCCUGAGGCUGUCAAGCCCCCUGCCCUCCACCUACCCCCAAGCCUGAGUGUGGCCUGCAGGCCUGGUCUUCCUCAGUGAGCGUCCAUCCUGGGCCAGGCCUCUGCAGGAGCCAGGUCAGAAGAGGACAGCAGAUUUAGGAGUGGUGGUGGGGUAGAUUCUGGGUGAUGUAGGGCAGGGAAAGUGGCUAGAACCUAAAUUCACUCAGAGACUCCAACAGACUAAGGGCAAGGGACCCCUCCCUACUCUAUUCCAUAGCCAGGAUUGGGUUUUGUAUGUUUGGUUUGGUUUUUGGAUUGUUUGUUUUUUUAAUACCUCCCACAUGCCAAGGAAGUGAAUGCAAAGAAGGAGCCCCUCUUCCUAGGCAUGGGGUCACCUCCCGACUCGGCAAGAUGGGGUAUGGGCUGCCCUUCCUCCACUGUGCUGCCUACAGCGUGAAUGGCCUCUGCCUAACAAUGGUGGUAGGGAUGGAGACCCAGAUAUGUUUUAAGUCACAGGUGCAUUUUGAGAACUUGUAUGGCUUCCUGGGUCUUGUUAAAAGACAAAUAUAACAAUUUUUGCCCUAAUUGACUCUGUGAAUGUAGAAUUGGGCAACACUUCAUCCUGUGAAAUAAACUUGAGUGUUGUCUUGUUUUGCUUGGCUCCGUUUGAGUCUCUUGGUGUGACAGGCUCUCAGUGUGUCAUGGAAGGACUCCGGAACCCAUCACCCUCCUGCCUCUGCUUCCCAAGUGCUGACUGUAUAGACCCGUAUCACGACUGCACGUGGGUAGGAGUUUGAUUUUAUAGACAGAAAAAGGAAGGAGAGUAAAAAUAGUAAAAAGCAAAUUGGUUAUUUCAAAGUUACUUCAAUUGGAGGAUAAUUCAUGCCAGCUCAGGUUGACUGGUCCCCUUGACUUCCCACAGAAGUCCCAAAGAUCUCUUGUUUUGUUGGAAAACUAGCCCAUUCAGAAUUCUGUUUGAUCAUGUGACACCUAGCAUAAUCUGUUCUAGUCCGACCGACUGGGCCAUAAUGCAGAAACUACGUCUUGCAUGUUUUAUGUAAUACUCUUUACCCCACUGAUUGAGUCUGCAGAACACUGGAAGAAUGAGGUCCUCUUGGACCCCUUUGGGGCCCCCUGUGAGCCAGGACCGCAUCAUCACCAGCUUCCCUAAGGUACAGUCAUUAGAACACCUUUGUUGUUUUGUUUUGUUUUGUUUUGUUUGGGUCUGGAUAGCUUUGAUAAAAGAUCUCUACUAUCCCAGAAGCACCUGGAGUUCACUAUGUAUUCCAGAUGAGCCUUAAAGUUCCAAUCCUCCCGCCUCCCUCUCUGAAAUGCUGGGGUGACAGGAAUGUACCGCUGUUCCCAGCCCUUCUUGUCUUCUUUGCUGAUGUAACACCUCAGCCUUAGCCAGCUUGGCUAAUUUAUGCCUUCAUGCCCAGAAGUCAAACAAGUGAGCUGCAGAGGUUGAUCUAAUUUAUUAUUUUUUUAACUUAUUUAUUUAUUAUAUAUAAGUAGACUGCAGCUGUCUUCAGACACACCAGAAUAGGGCAUCAGUUCUUGUUACAGAUGGUUGUGAGCCACCAUGUGGUUGCUGGGAAUUGAACUCAGGACCUCUGGAAGAGCAGCCAGUACUCUUAACGGCUGAGCCACCUCUCCAGCUCAAUCUAAUUUCUAAGAAGCUAAAAGACUGGGUGUUGAGUUCUUCUAAAGUAGGCUAGUAGUAGCAACAGGUAGCAGCUGUAUGGCAUGGAGACUGUAAGUCACGCAGUCCUCCGUGUAAAACCCGAUGCUGUCAUAGCUGUGACCUAUGCUCACCCAAGCGCUAGGAGCUGAUGAUGCACGAAGGUAAAACCUCUAAGCACAGCUCAUGGUAAGUGUAAGCUUCCCAAGUCAGGACAUUCCUUAUUAUUCUUAUUAGCUCUCUCCAUAGGGUGGGAAUGUAACUUAGUGGGAAAGCACUGCUUUAGUAGGUAAAAAACUGUGAGUUUUAUCCCUAGCACUGUGGGGGUGGGGAGGGGGGAAGAUAUGAGAGAGAAUAUAUACACAGGGCUUUCUCCAUUGUUAGUCUACCUUUGCUUUUUGCUUAAAAGCUCCAAUCUGUUUUACAGACUAAUAUUAAUUUCAGUGGAGAAUGCCAAGUAACAUUUAUUGGGGGGCAGAGGAACAGUAUUUGCCCAUAUUACAGACACCCUUGCCCAGUAGGUAGCCACUUCUAGGAAUCUGAACUCUAUAUGUCCUGGCAUGAGUGGGGAGUGUGUGAAAGGUCAGGCAUUGUAGCCGUUAGUAUGAGCAGAAAGUCAGAUUCUGGGAUAGCAUUGGAAAUGUAAACGAGGAAAAUACCUAAUUAAAAAAAAAAAAGG
rnacentral:lncRNA from 1 species